CCUACGGGAGGCAGCAGUGGGGAAUAUUGGACAAUGGGGGGAACCCUGAUCCAGCGACGCCGCGUGAGUGAAGAAGUAUUUCGGUAUGUAAAGUUCUAUCAGCAGGGAAGAAAAUGACGGUACCUGACUAAGAAGCCCCGGCUAACUACGUGCCAGCAGCCGCGGUAAUACGUAGGGGGCAAGCGUUAUCCGGAUUUACUGGGUGUAAAGGGAGCGUAGACGGUGUAGCAAGUCAGAUGUGAAAGCUCGGGGCUCAACCCCGGGACUGCAUUUGAAACUGUUGAACUGGAGUGCAGGAGAGGUAAGUGGAAUUCCGAGUGUAGCGGUGAAAUGCGUAGAUAUUAGGAGGAACACCAGUGGCGAAGGCGGCUUACUGGACUGUAACUGACGUUGAGGCUCGAAAGCGUGGGGAGCAAACAGGAUUAGAUACCCCAGUAGUC
rnacentral:rRNA from 1 species